GACGAACGCUGGCGGCGUGCUUAACACAUGCAAGUCGAACGGAAAGGCCCUGCUUUUGUGGGGUGCUCGAGUGGCGAACGGGUGAGUAACACGUGAGUAACCUGCCCUUGACUUUGGGAUAACUUCAGGAAACUGGGGCUAAUACCGGAUAGGAGCUCCUGCUGCAUGGUGGGGGUUGGAAAGUUUCGGCGGUUGGGGAUGGACUCGCGGCUUAUCAGCUUGUUGGUGGGGUAGUGGCUUACCAAGGCUUUGACGGGUAGCCGGCCUGAGAGGGCGACCGGCCACAUUGGGACUGAGAUACGGCCCAGACUCCUACGGGAGGCAGCAGUGGGGAAUAUUGCACAAUGGGCGGAAGCCUGAUGCAGCAACGCCGCGUGCGGGAUGACGGCCUUCGGGUUGUAAACCGCUUUCGCCUGUGACGAAGCGUGAGUGACGGUAAUGGGUAAAGAAGCACCGGCUAACUACGUGCCAGCAGCCGCGGUGAUACGUAGGGUGCGAGCGUUGUCCGGAUUUAUUGGGCGUAAAGGGCUCGUAGGUGGUUGAUCGCGUCGGAAGUGUAAUCUUGGGGCUUAACCCUGAGCGUGCUUUCGAUACGGGUUGACUUGAGGAAGGUAGGGGAGAAUGGAAUUCCUGGUGGAGCGGUGGAAUGCGCAGAUAUCAGGAGGAACACCAGUGGCGAAGGCGGUUCUCUGGGCCUUUCCUGACGCUGAGGAGCGAAAGCGUGGGGAGCGAACAGGCUUAGAUACCCUGGUAGUCCACGCUGUAAACGGUGGGUACUAGGUGUGGGGUCCAUUCCACGGGUUCCGUGCCGUAGCUAACGCUUUAAGUACCCCGCCUGGGGAGUACGGCCGCAAGGCUAAAACUCAAAGGAAUUGACGGGGCCCCGCACAAGCGGCGGAGCAUGCGGAUUAAUUCGAUGCAACGCGUAGAACCUUACCUGGGUUUGACAUGGAUCGGGAGUGCUCAGAGAUGGGUGUGCCUCUUUUGGGGUCGGUUCACAGGUGGUGCAUGGCUGUCGUCAGCUCGUGUCGUGAGAUGUUGGGUUAAGUCCCGCAACGAGCGCAACCCUUGUUCACUGUUGCCAGCACGUUAUGGUGGGGACUCAGUGGAGACCGCCGGGGUCAACUCGGAGGAAGGUGGGGAUGACGUCAAGUCAUCAUGCCCCUUAUGUCCAGGGCUUCACGCAUGCUACAAUGGCUGGUACAGAGAGUGGCGAGCCUGUGAGGGUGAGCGAAUCUCGGAAAGCCGGUCUCAGUUCGGAUUGGGGUCUGCAACUCGACCUCAUGAAGUCGGAGUCGCUAGUAAUCGCAGAUCAGCAACGCUGCGGUGAAUACGUUCCCGGGGCA
rnacentral:rRNA from 1 species